rnacentral:rRNA from 1 species
CAGCGGCGGACGGGUGAGUAACACGUGGGUAACCUGCCUGUAAGACUGGGAUAACUCCGGGAAACCGGGGCUAAUACCGGAUGCUUGAUUGAACCGCAUGGUUCAAUCAUAAAAGGUGGCUUUCAGCUACCACUUACAGAUGGACCCGCGGCGCAUUAGCUAGUUGGUGAGGUAACGGCUCACCAAGGCGACGAUGCGUAGCCGACCUGAGAGGGUGAUCGGCCACACUGGGACUGAGACACGGCCCAGACUCCUACGGGAGGCAGCAGUAGGGAAUCUUCCGCAAUGGACGAAAGUCUGACGGAGCAACGCCGCGUGAGUGAUGAAGGUUUUCGGAUCGUAAAACUCUGUUGUUAGGGAAGAACAAGUACCGUUCGAAUAGGGCGGCACCUUGACGGUACCUAACCAGAAAGCCACGGCUAACUACGUGCCAGCAGCCGCGGUAAUACGUAGGUGGCAAGCGUUGUCCGGAAUUAUUGGGCGUAAAGCGCGCGCAGGCGGUUUCUUAAGUCUGAUGUGAAAGCCCCCGGCUCAACCGGGGAGGGUCAUUGGAAACUGGGGAACUUGAGUGCAGAAGAGGAGAGUGGAAUUCCACGUGUAGCGGUGAAAUGCGUAGAGAUGUGGAGGAACACCAGUGGCGAAGGCGACUCUCUGGUCUGUAACUGACG